rnacentral:misc_RNA from 1 species
AAGAUCUGGUAUGCUCUGUUCUGAUUGUCUUUUGCCUUGGAUUUAGGAUGUAGGAUAUAUAUAAUAUUUUAGUUUAUAGUAAUGCUCUGAGUGGGUAAGAACAAUUCUCAAGAGUAUAUAUAUGCAAAAGCCAAUUUAUAAACCAUAUAUUUUUAAUAUAGAAGAAUUUGGAUAAUAUACUUUGACAUUAUUAAUAUAGGGUUUAUUAAUGUGAUAUACACUAUAUCAGACACAUUUAGUACUGGUUAAUGACAUCUUCAGUGUACCUUAUGCAUCUCUGUAUUCAAUAAAUGCUAGACCCUGAGGUUUAUGGACCAUCACUGGAUUUUUCCAAAUUUAUAAUCUAUUAUUCCCUCCAUCCUAUAAAGAUAGGCUUACUUUCCUUUUUCAU